rnacentral:rRNA from 1 species
UUUUAUGGAGAGUUUGAUCCUGGCUCAGGAUGAACGCUGGCGGCGUGCCUAAUACAUGCAAGUCGAGCGAACAGACAAGGAGCUUGCUCCUUUGACGUUAGCGGCGGACGGGUGAGUAACACGUGGGUAACCUACCUAUAAGACUGGGAUAACUUCGGGAAACCGGAGCUAAUACUGGAUAAUAUUUCGAACCGCAUGGUUCGAUAGUGAAAGAUGGUUUUGCUAUCACUUAUAGAUGGACCCGCGCCGUAUUAGCUAGUUGGUAAGGUAACGGCUUACCAAGGCGACGAUACGUAGCCGACCUGAGAGGGUGAUCGGCCACACUGGAACUGAGACACGGUCCAGACUCCUACGGGAGGCAGCAGUAGGGAAUCUUCCGCAAUGGGCGAAAGCCUGACGGAGCAACGCCGCGUGAGUGAUGAAGGUCUUCGGAUCGUAAAACUCUGUUAUUAGGGAAGAACAUACGUGUAAGUAACUAUGCACGUCUUGACGGUACCUAAUCAGAAAGCCACGGCUAACUACGUGCCAGCAGCCGCGGUAAUACGUAGGUGGCAAGCGUUAUCCGGAAUUAUUGGGCGUAAAGCGCGCGUAGGCGGUUUUUUAAGUCUGAUGUGAAAGCCCACGGCUCAACCGUGGAGGGUCAUUGGAAACUGGAAAACUUGAGUGCAGAAGAGGAAAGUGGAAUUCCAUGUGUAGCGGUGAAAUGCGCAGAGAUAUGGAGGAACACCAGUGGCGAAGGCGACUUUCUGGUCUGUAACUGACGCUGAUGUGCGAAAGCGUGGGGAUCAAACAGGAUUAGAUACCCUGGUAGUCCACGCCGUAAACGAUGAGUGCUAAGUGUUAGGGGGUUUCCGCCCCUUAGUGCUGCAGCUAACGCAUUAAGCACUCCGCCUGGGGAGUACGACCGCAAGGUUGAAACUCAAAGGAAUUGACGGGGACCCGCACAAGCGGUGGAGCAUGUGGUUUAAUUCGAAGCAACGCGAAGAACCUUACCAAAUCUUGACAUCCUUUGACAACUCUAGAGAUAGAGCCUUCCCCUUCGGGGGACAAAGUGACAGGUGGUGCAUGGUUGUCGUCAGCUCGUGUCGUGAGAUGUUGGGUUAAGUCCCGCAACGAGCGCAACCCUUAAGCUUAGUUGCCAUCAUUAAGUUGGGCACUCUAAGUUGACUGCCGGUGACAAACCGGAGGAAGGUGGGGAUGACGUCAAAUCAUCAUGCCCCUUAUGAUUUGGGCUACACACGUGCUACAAUGGACAAUACAAAGGGCAGCGAAACCGCGAGGUCAAGCAAAUCCCAUAAAGUUGUUCUCAGUUCGGAUUGUAGUCUGCAACUCGACUACAUGAAGCUGGAAUCGCUAGUAAUCGUAGAUCAGCAUGCUACGGUGAAUACGUUCCCGGGUCUUGUACACACCGCCCGUCACACCACGAGAGUUUGUAACACCCGAAGCCGGUGGAGUAACCAUUUGGAGCUAGCCGUCGAAGGUGGGACAAAUGAUUGGGGUGAAGUCGUAACAAGGUAGCCGUAUCGGAAGGUGCGGCUGGAUCACCUCCUUUCUAA